rnacentral:rRNA from 1 species
AGCAGCAGCCGCGGUAAUACGUAGGUGGCAAGCGUUGUCCGGAAUUAUUGGGCGUAAAGCGCGCGCAGGUGGUUUAAUAAGUCUGAUGUGAAAGCCCACGGCUCAACCGGGGAGGGUCAUUGGAAACUGGUUGACUUGAGUGCAGAAGAGGAGAGUGGAAUUCCAUGUGUAGCGGUGAAAUGCGUAGAUAUAUGGAGGAACACCAGUGGCGAAGGCGACUCUCUGGUCUGUAACUGACGCUGAGGCUCGAAAGCGUGGGUAGCAAACAGGAUUAGAUACCCGUGUAGUCCCUGUCUCUUAUAC